CCUACGGGUGGCAGCAGUGAGGAAUAUUGGUCAAUGGGCGCGAGCCUGAACCAGCCAAGUCGCGUGAGGGAAGACGGUCCUAUGGAUUGUAAACCUCUUUUGUCGGGGAGCAAAAGACGCCACGCGUAGCGUUCCGAGAGUACCCGAAGAAAAAGCAUCGGCUAACUCCGUGCCAGCAGCCGCGGUACUACGGGGGAUGCGAGCGUUAACCGGAUCUAUUGGGUUUAAGGGGUGCGCAGGCGGAAGAUCAAGUCAGCGGUAAACUUGAGAGGCUCAACCUCUUCGAGCCGUUGAAACUGGUUUUCUUGAGUGAGCGAGAAGUAUGCGGAAGGCGUGGUGUAGCGGUGAAAUGCAUAGAUAUCACGCAGAACUCCGAGUGCGAAGGCAGCAUACCGGCGCUCAACUGACGCUCAUGCACGAAAGUGUGGGUAUCGAACAGGAUUAGAUACCCCAGUAGUC
rnacentral:rRNA from 1 species